AAACAGAUAGGUUUGGUCCUGGCCUUUUUAUUAGUUAUUUGUAAGAUUACACAUGCAAACAUCCCUACCCCAGUGAAAAUGCCCUCUAGAUCACCCGGAUCAAAGGGAGCAGGUAUCAAGCACGCAUACACAAAUGCAGCUCAAAACACUUUGCUCAACCACACCCCCACAGGAAACAGUAGUGUUAAAUCUACUAAUAAACAGAAGUUUAACUAAGCUAUACUAAUAUUUAGUGUUGGUUAAUUUUGUGCCAGCCACCGUGGCCAUAAGGUUAACCCAAGCUAAUAGAACUUGGCGUAAAGAGUGUUUAAGGUCUGCCCUCAAUAAAGCUAAACUCCAUCUAAGUUGUAAAAAACGCGAGUUGAAAUAAAAUAUACUACAAAAGUAGCUUUAAUACCCUGAAGACACAGUAGCUAAGACAAGAACUGGGAUUAGACACCCCACUAUGCUUAGCCCUAAACCCUAAUAGUUACAUUAACAAAACCAUUCGCUAGCGUACUACAAGCAACAGCUUAAAACUCAAAGGACUUGGCAGUGCUUUACAUUCCUCCAGAGGAGCCUGUUCUAUAAUCGAUAAACCCCGAUCCACCUCACCAUCUCUUGCCCCCGGCCUAUAUGCCGCCAUCUGCAGCACACCCUAAAAAGGUUAUAGAGUAAGCACAAGUACACACAUCAAAACGUUGGGUCAAGGUGUAGCCCAUGAGGUGGCAAGAAAUAGGCAACAUUUUCUACGUCCAGAAAAUCUCACGACAGCCUUUAUGAAAUCUAAGGGCUUAAAGAGGAUUGAACAGUAAACCAAGAGCAGUGUCUGACUGAAUAAGGCCAUGAAGCACGCACACAAAACCCAUCAUCUUCCUCAAAUACUACUCUAGAAAUCACUAUUACUGUUAAUUUUCUACACAGGUAUAGAGGAGAUAAGUUGUAACAUGGUAAGCAUACUGGAAAGUGCGCUUGGAUAAGCCAAAGU
rnacentral:ncRNA from 1 species